UCAAUAAAAGAACUCCAUAGGAUAGUAUAGUAGUCAUUUGUUCGUUUCGAUUAUUGUAUGAAUACAUAAAUGAAAUAAACAUGUAGAAAGUACUUUAGAAAGUGUUUUGCACAGGGGUUCAAAUCCCCUCAUCUCCACCA
rnacentral:tmRNA from 1 species